AUUGAACGCUGGCGGCAUGCCUUACACAUGCAAGUCGAACGGCAGCACGGGAGCAAUCCUGGUGGCGAGUGGCGAACGGGUGAGUAAUAUAUCGGAACGUGCCCAGUCGUGGGGAUAACGUAGAGAAUUUACGCUAAUACCGCAUACGAUCUAAGGAUGAAAGCGGGGGAUUCGCAAGAACCUCGCGCGAUUGGAGCGGCUGAUAUCAGAUUAGGUUGUUGGUGAGGUAAAGCUCACCAAGCCGACGAUCUGUAGCUGGUUUGAGAGAACGACCAGCCACACUGGGACUGAGACACGGCCCAGACUCCUACGGGAGGCAGCAGUGGGGAAUUUUGGGACAAUGGGCGCAAGCCUGAUCCAGCAAUGCCGCGUGCAGGAUGAAGGCCUUC
rnacentral:rRNA from 1 species